GGUUGUUUGGCCGAGCGGUCUAAGGCGCCUGAUUCAAGAUCAGGUAUCGUAAGAUGCAAGAGUUCGAAUCUCUUAGCAACCA
rnacentral:tRNA from 1 species